UGGUGCUGUGGAAGAGGAGCUGGCGGGCGGGAGCCAGCAUCCACAGGGUGAAGAGGCAGUCCUGAAACCAGCUGAAGGGGAAAUACCGGAGGCUUUGAAUAUUCCUCUGGAAAAUGACCACCAGGAUAAUGAAUACUACACACCUGUUCUAUUUUAAUUUUUUU